rnacentral:rRNA from 1 species
CCCGCAGGCGGUCCACUAAGUCCUUUGUGAAACUCCGGGGCUCAACUCCGGAUAUGCAGAGGAUACUGGUGGACUAGAGACUCGUAGAGGCUUAUGGAAUUCCUGGUGUAGCGGUGGAAUGCGUAGAUAUCAGGAAGAACACCAGUGGCGAAGGCGGUAAGCUGGGCGAAUUCUGACGCUCAUGGGCGAAAGCGUGGGGAGCAAACA